CACAACUACUAUAGAACCCUUCCUUAACCCCACGCAUUCCGAAGUUUCUUGCAAAAACACAACACUCACACACCAUGACUGCAAAUUCUACAUUGUAAAAUAGCAGGAUGAUUCUUCUACCUUAUCGCAGACUUGUACUAAACAACUCUAAUAACUUUGCCAUGGGCUCCAAAUAUUUUCUCCACAAGCCAUCCAUUACCAUACACAAGACUAUUAUUCCUGUCCUUUCUUCAAAAACCCACCCUUUUCAAAACCAAAGACUCAUCUUUUCAACAUUUGCUUCAAAACCCAUCUCCCCAAUUCGUGGAACUUCAAACUUGUCUUACAGGCCCCACCGUAUUCCCCCACCAGUUUCUGGAGUAGUUCUGGAAGACCCAGUGGAGGGAAUUGCAGAGUCAGAACAUGUGAAGGCACUGAAGGAGAAAUUAAGCCAGAUUGGAAUAGAUAUUGGUUCUUGUGGACCAGGGCAAUACUCUGGUUUGCUUUGUCCAAUGUGCACAGGUGGGGAUUCAAAUGAAAAGAGCUUAUCUCUCUUCAUUACUCAGGAUGGGCAUGCAGCUACAUGGACAUGCUUUCGAGCUAAAUGUGGGUGGAGAGGUGGUACCCGGGCCUUUGCAGAUGUGAAGACAGCUUUUGCAGAUAUGAAAAGGAUUGGAAAAGUGACUAAGAAGUACAGACAGAUAACUGAGGAGAGUUUGGGGCUGGAAUCUUUAUGUGAUGUGUUACUCUCAUACUUCUCUGAGCGAAUGAUAUCAAGAGAAACAUUGCGGAGAAAUGCGGUAAUGCAACGGAGAUACGGUGAUCAGAUUGUAAUUGCAUUUACAUAUCGGAGGGAUGGAGCACUUGUAAGCUGCAAGUACCGGGACAUCACCAAAAAGUUUUGGCAGGAAGCUGAUACAUUAAAGAUAUUUUAUGGUCUAGACGAUAUAAAAGGAGCAAGUGAUAUCAUCAUUGUUGAGGGUGAGAUGGACAAGCUUGCUAUGGAAGAAGCUGGCUUUCGGAACUGUGUGAGCGUUCCCGAUGGGGCACCUCCAGUUAUUUCAGAUAAAGAGUUGCCACCUGUAGAUAAGGACACAAAGUAUCAGUAUCUUUGGAACUGCAAAGAGUAUUUAGAAAAGGCAUCUCGCAUAAUACUGGCAACUGAUGGGGAUCCACCUGGUCAAGCUUUAGCUGAAGAACUUGCCCGCCGCUUGGGGCGAGAAAGGUGUUGGCGAGUCACAUGGCCGAAAAAGAGCACUGUAGACCGUUUCAAAGAUGCAAAUGAGGUACUUAUGUAUCUGGGGCCUGGUGCACUGAGGGAGGUUAUUGAAGGUGCUGAGCUAUACCCAAUACAAGGGUUAUUCAACUUUAAAGAUUACUUCACUGAGAUUGAAGCAUAUUAUCACCAAACAAUUGGCUACGAGCUUGGGGUUUCAACUGGAUGGAGGUCUUUAAAUCAACUAUACAAUGUUGUGCCUGGAGAGUUGACUAUUGUUACAGGAGUCCCAAAUUCGGGGAAGAGUGAAUGGAUUGAUGCUCUUUUGUGCAAUCUCAAUCAGAGUGUUGGCUGGAAAUUUGCACUUUGCUCUAUGGAAAAUAAGGUGCGGGACCAUGCUAGGAAACUUUUGGAGAAACACAUAAAGAAACCAUUCUUUGAUGUGAGAUAUGGGGAAUCUGUUCAACGGAUGAGUGCUCAGGAGUUUGAAGAGGGAAAGCAAUGGCUCAGUGAUACUUUUUUCCUCAUAAGGUGUGAGAAUGAUUGCCUACCGAAUAUUGACUGGGUUCUGUCACUUGCAAAAGCUGCAGUUUUAAGACAUGGGGUGAAUGGACUCGUAAUUGAUCCAUACAAUGAGCUUGAUCAUCAACGUCCUUCAAGCCAGACAACAAAAUGUGUUGCUCAACUUUAAGAUGCAUUGGGUGAAUUCCUACCUUCUCUCUGCAUUUUCCCUUUUUACCUCUGCUAUAUUCUUUUGCUACUACUCUUAUUCUUUUUCUCAUAGUGCUUCCAUCUGAUGCUGCAUUUAGAAGCAAUCUUUUAUUAGUCCUUCAUUCUGCUGAAGGGUCUUAUCUAACAGAGUUCCAAGAAGGAAAGGUGAAAUUCUAAGAAGUUACAUGGAUCCUUGUCUUGCUGCGCUUCAAAAUUCAGAUAAUGGGUUCUUUGAAUUUUGAAAUGCAGGAGAGAAUCACAUGGCUGCAAGUGGAAGAAGGGAAUCUUUCCUCUCAUAUUAUUGAGUGUGUAAAUGGCAGAUUCUUAAACGUUAGAUCUAGAAAGGUCUAAUCACUGUAACUUUGUGAUUAGGAGAAAUAUAGUGUUCUUGCACACUCUAUUUUAAUGAUUGGGAAAUUGAUAGUUAUACAAUGAUGCUUCAACUUCUCUAUGAUCUCCCACCCUUUGGCUCUAACCCGGAUCACUUAAAAUGGAACUUGCAUUCCAAAGGUGUCUUCGCCGUUAAAAGCUGCUACUAUUCUUUCUCUAGCUCUUCAGCUUCUCCCAUUGUCUGGCCUUGGAAAACAAUUUGGAGGAACAAGGCCCCAUAUAAAGUGAAAUGUUUCACUUGGAUAAUGGCAAACGGCAAAUGUCUCACCUUAGACAACUUGCAGAAGAGAGGCUUCCAGUUGUGUAACCGAUGCGUCCUCUGCAAAGAAAAUGAGGAAGAUGUUUAUCACCUCUUCCUUCACUGCAAAGUUUCCCGUCAUCUCUGGAAUCUGGUUUUCAACAUCCUAGGACUGAAACAGAGUAUGUUAGCCAGAUGCUGACAAAGAUCAAACGGUUUGCGCAACACCAUUCCUGUCAUGUUUGGUUUGUUGCAC